AUACUUUUCUGCAUCUCUGUCAUCUUCACAAGGAGGACACACCACAACAACAUGCUCGUCCAAGGACAAUGAGGGGCAUAGGAAGCAGAGUCACCCCAGCUGACCCAGGAAGAAAAGCACUGGAGACAGAUCCAGAUGCACAAACUGAUUCGUGCUUUAAGGAAAGCUGACUCUAUUCCCAUAUUCAGGAUGGAUUCUCAUACCAAAGCUGAUUUCCAUAAUGUCAAUACUUCUCUUGUGAUGGGUUUCAAGCUCUCAAUGUGGUAUCACUGAUAAUGGACUUAGG